rnacentral:rRNA from 1 species
UGGGGAAUUUUGGACAAUGGGCGAAAGCCUGAUCCAGCAAUGCCGCGUGUGUGAAGAAGGCCUUCGGGUUGUAAAGCACUUUUGUCCGGAAAGAAAUCCUUGGCUCUAAUACAGUCGGGGGAUGACGGUACCGGAAGAAUAAGCACCGGCUAACUACGUGCCAGCAGCCGCGGUAAUACGUAGGGUGCAAGCGUUAAUCGGAAUUACUGGGCGUAAAGCGUGCGCAGGCGGUUUGCUAAGACCGAUGUGAAAUCCCCGGGCUCAACCUGGGGAACUGCAUUGGUGACUGGCAGGCUAGAGUAUGGCAGAGGGGGGUAGAAUUCCACGUGUAGCAGUGAAAUGCGUAGAGAUGUGGAGGAAUACCGAUGGCGAAGGCAGCCCCCUGGGCCAAUACUGACGCUCAUGCACGAAAGCGUGGGGAGCAAACAGGAUUAGAUACCCUGGUAGUCCACGCCCUAAACGAUGUCAACUAGUUGUUGGGGAUUCAUUUCCUUAGUAACGUAGCUAACGCGUGAAGUUGACCGCCUGGGGGAGUACGGUCGCAAGAUUAAAACUCAAAGG